UAUAUGGGCCAAAUUGUGUAUUAUAUAAUAUAAAUAAAGUUAAAUAAAUAAAUUGCGAGAGUAUAAAAUGUUCGGUUACACCCGAACUUAGCCCUUCCUUACUUGUUUAUAAUUAUAAUUUUUUCAUACAUAUUUCUACGCAGUAAUAACAAUUGAUUGUAUGUGUGAAACGUUUAAGUUUGGCCGACCACUGCUCUAAGAAUACUCUUAUUCGCAACCAAGCCCUUAUCUCUUCCCUGUAGUAAGGAUGAUAUGUAUUGGUAUAUUGCACUAGUGAAUUCAGGUAUUACAAGUAACUACCCAGCAAGUCAUGGGUACUGAAACUCCAACACAUUCAAAGAAAUUUCAAUAACACCACUACAUACACAUAUAUGCAUCAAAGGGCAAAAUGUGCAUAAACAUUUACCUCAACUCUUAUCUCGUACAGCACCGUGAAUGAUAGAAAGAAACAACCCAAGUUCUCGUGUUUGAACAAGUUUUGUUUUGAGUCAUGGCUGCUUGUGAAGUAUUAUUUUGCGUGUUUUAUUUAAAUCAGUGAUCUGCAGCCUAAUUAAAGUUUAAAUCAUUGAAGCACGCAUUUUUAAAUAAGUAAAACGUAAAAUAAAAGUUUUCUAAAGCUAAAAUAUGAAAUUGAAGACGGUGAUACAGUAAUACUUCAUCGCAUUGUCAAUUCGAAGCACGCAAUAGAAGCUUCGCCAACAAUGGUCAACAUCAAGGGCGAAACCAUUGAAUACAUAUUUCAAACCUCAUACGCGCGUUAAAUGUACGCAACCUAAUUGGUGUCACUUAUGGUAGCAGCGUAGAACUUUCGAAGCGAUGGAAUAUGUGCUGCAAGCAAAUCCAGAACUAUGGAUGCAUACGCUGCUACAUCGAACACAAAUCAUUUACACACUAGAUAUUAGGUUUAAUGUCAUUUUUUACGUGCAAUUAAAACUUUUUGGUCAACACAAGCACGUGAAGAAUUGGAACGACAUGGUUUAGGUGCGUUUGCAACCGUUUAUCAUCGCGACAACUGGGUUUUGCCAAUGAGCUAGAGGGCAAAGCAAUUGCAGUAUUUUUGGACUUACCGGCACCUCAGUUGCCGUGCCAUUAGCAAAUAAAAUGAGUGCCAUGAGUGGGAUAAUAGAAAUUUUAAAACUUCUUGUAUGUUCAAUUAGGAGGACGUUUUUUAUUAAUUUUCACCUUGUAUUGAGGAAUCAUAAUGUUGUUGUAUCCCUUUACAAGGACAUGGAUUCGCCGAAAUUAGUACAAUGGAAAUACUACAGCAAGAGCAUGGAUGUUAAGACUAGAACGUUGCCCGUGCUAGAUUUAAAAUUCCUGAAGUAUAAGAAAUUGGAUGAAUCUCGUACUAGUGAAAUUAAUGAAAGAACAGAUCUUACAAAGACUCCUAAAGAAACCAAAAGAGUCCUCACAUUAUGUCCGCAGCUUACACUUCCGGGCCGCUCGGGGUAUUUGACAUUUGCCACUCUCCCUCCAGCCUUUGUCAGAUAGCAAAAAUUGUUCAACUAUUCAAUUCUUUAUACA